GGGGAGCAAGCGUUAUCCGGAAUCAUUGGGCGUAAAGCGCCUGUAGGUUGUUUAUUAAGUCUGUGGUUAAAGACUAGGGCUCAACCCUAGGAAAGCAAUGGAAACUAAUAGACUAGAGUAUGGCAGGGGUAGAGGGAAUUUCUAGUGUAGCGGUGAAAUGCGUAGAUAUUAGAAAGAACACCGGUGGCGAAAGCGCUCUACUGGACCAUUACUGACACUGAGAGGCGAAAGCUAGGGGAGCGAAAGGGAUUAGAUACCCCUGUAGUCCUAGCCGUAAACGAUGGAUACUAGAUGUUGUGCAAUUUGGACAGUAUCGUAGCUAACGCGUUAAGUAUCCCGCCUGGGGAGUACGCUCGCAAGGGUGAAACUCAAAGGAAUUGACGGGGGCCCGCACAAGCGGUGGAGCAUGUGGUUUAAUUCGAUGCAACGCGAAGAACCUUACCAGGGCUUGACAUACUACAGAUUUUUUUGAGAAAGAAGAGUGCCUUCGGGAAUGUAGAUACAGGUGGUGCAUGGCUGUCGUCAGCUCGUGUCGGGAGAUGUUGGGUUAAGUCCCGCAACGAGCGCAACCCUCGUUUUUAGUUGCCAAUUUAUUGGGAUCUCUAGAAAGACUGCCGGUGACAAACCGGAGGAAGGUGAGGAUGACGUUAAGUCAGCAUGCCCCUUAUGUCUUGGGCCACACACGUGCUACAAUGGUAAAGACAAAGAGUCCCCCAUUCGCGAGAAUGAGCUAAUCUCAU
rnacentral:rRNA from 1 species